CUGCACCGUGAGGCUGGGCCACUCCAGGGCGUGUGUCAUCACCAGAAAUGAUAAAAUUAUUGAAUCGUGGACUGGUUUGGGUUGGAAAGGACCUUAAAGAUCAGCUCAUUCCAGCUACCCUGUUGGGCAGGGGUGCCCUCCACUAGACCAGGGCUUGAAAUACCAAGAGCCACAGUCCUACACAGAGUGUGCAUUAAUGGACAGGUGUCACGUCAGACAUCUCUGCAGCUUUUUGCUUUGGGAGGCGGAGGCUGGAGCCAGAGGAACUGUGGAUUCACAGCACAGACAUCAUGUAAGGGAAGAAGGAACAGGCAGACACAUCUGCUGAGACCAGCAUAGAAAGCUGAAUUGCACAGAUGAUCCAGAGAAGCUACAAGCAAGUGCUUUUGGAAUUUGAGCAAUACACAUCUGGCCAGGACAGAACUUCAGGAAAGGCAAGAGGGAUCAACAAGCUGAUUCUUUUCCAUCAGUAACCACUGAACUGCAGAAAGCAAGGAAAAAACCCCUGAAAGUUCUACUAAGGAAUUUGAAAAUAUUUCAGUAAUGUUAUGAGAUUGCCAUGCACUGGCUGGUGUGACUGCUGCAAAUAAAACCUAAU